UACGAAGGGGGCUAGCGUUGUUCGGAAUUACUGGGCGUAAAGCGCGUGUAGGCGGGUCUUUUAAGUCAGGGGUGAAAUGCCAAGGCUCAACCUUGGAACUGCCUUUGAUACUGGAGAUCUUGAGUCCGGGAGAGGUGAGUGGAACUGCGAGUGUAGAGGUGAAAUUCGUAGAUAUUCGCAAGAACACCAGUGGCGAAGGCGGCUCACUGGCCCGGAACUGACGCUGAGACGCGAAAGCG
rnacentral:rRNA from 1 species